rnacentral:lncRNA from 1 species
CUUUAUUAUUGGACUGUUUCAAAUACAGACAACUUUCAUCCAUUCACAUUUGUAAUACACAUUUCUCUAUCUGUCAAUCACUUUCUGGCAAAGUGACAUAGCCCAAAAUAAAAUAAUCAUGGUGUACUCUGAAUACAGAUAUCAAUCAUCCUCAAUGUGCAGUUAAAUUUCUUCUCUGAUCACUACCUAGUUUAGCAUUUAGCAAGCAUCAAUAUGUUCGAAUUCACUAAAAUUCGGGUUUUUGAAGUUUUAUCCAUUUAAAUAAAAACAAAAUAAGAGCAAUUGCAUUCCACAUACAGAACUAAUGAUCUUUAUCAAAAGGAUCAAUUGCUCAAUAAUGCAAAGGUUUGUGACAUAAUUUGCACCAAGAUUUAAAGAUUUAGCCCCCGUUUGGCCCCCAUUUUUAGAAAUGAAAAUGGGUGGAAUGGUGUUUUUUGAAAAAUGAGCAAUUGAAAAAGAAGGAAAAGUUUUCAGUUUACGCGUAAUAUUAUUUUAUAGAAAAUUGGGUGACUGAAAAUAAGAAAGAGAAAAAUGAAAUGGAAUUUAAUAGGGGCCAACAUAGUUUUUCUCGCAAAUCGAUCCCUUUUAAAGAUAGACGGGUUUACGUUAAUUUCCCUUUUAAAAAUAGAUGGGUUUAAGUCAACCCAGCAUAGUUUUUUUCUCGCAAAUCGAUCCAAUAAAGUAACUUGACAACUUAAUUUGUGAUAGAGUUCAGUGUUUAGCAAUUUGCUUAUCAUCAUGUUUAACUAAAUUAAAAGUUAAUUUUUUAACCAACAUGCUAUAAUGUUCAACACUCGCUUGUAAUCACUGAAUUUCAUGUUUAAUGUACUGUUAGUGCAAACCACAAAUCCUUUUGUAGAUAUAAAUUACCAUUACAGAAUAAAGCAGAGAAGAAAAUAAAACAUUUAAGCAUGCAUGAAAACACAAUACCCAACAGUUCUUCAAAAUCAGAUCUAAUCAUGCAUCAAUUAAUUCUCAAACUCAACAAAAUAAAGGUUGUUAUACAUACAAAUUAAUUAAUCGACUUAAUACCUUAGAUAUUUGUAGUGGUAAAUCAUAGGUGACGAUGACUAAACUGUUCUUCUUGAAUCGCCAUGGAUGAUGAGAUUAUCAAAUGUAUACG